rnacentral:rRNA from 1 species
GUGGGGAAUAUUCCGCAAUGGACGAAAGUCUGACGGAGCAACGCCGCGUGAGUGAUGAAGGUUUUCGGACUGUAAAGCUCUGUUGUUUAGGACGAAAGUGCCUGUUGCAAACAGUUACAGGUAUUGACGGUACUAAACGAGGAAGCUACGGCUAACUACGUGCCAGCAGCCGCGGUAAUACGUAGGUGGCAAGCGUUGUCCGGAAUUAUUGGGCGUAAAGAGCAUGUAGGCGGGAAUCUAAGUCUGUUGUGAAAAUGCGGGGCUCAACCCCGUAUUGCGAUGGAAACUGGGUUUCUUGAGUGCAGGAGAGGAAAGGGGAAUUCCCAGUGUAGCGGUGAAAUGCGUAGAUAUUGGGAGGAACACCAGUGGCGAAGGCGCCUUUCUGGACUGUGUCUGACGCUGAGAUGCGAAAGCCAGGGUAGCGAACGGGAUUAGAUACCCCAGUAGUCC